GUAGGUGAACCUGCGGAAGGAUCAUUAAAAAAUCUUUUAAUGAGCCGCAAGGCUCUAAUAUUUUGUGAAAUGUGUAUUAUUACGAGCAGAAAUGGGGAGGGAAGAAUUGAUGAUAGAUCUGGUCUGUAGUGUCUAUGUAUUUAUAUGUAUUUAUUACGAAUUGGAUUUUGAAAAGGAGACUUCCCCACUUUGGUUUGUAAUGAUAAAAUAUUAAUAUAUAUGUUUUUGAUGUUGAGGAAAAUAUUAUAUC
rnacentral:misc_RNA from 1 species